UGCCCGGUGGUGUAGCGGUAGCACAUGGGACUUUGGCUCCUAUGACCCAGGUUCGAUUCCUGGCCGGGCAG
rnacentral:tRNA from 1 species